rnacentral:tRNA from 2 species
GGGCGUGUGGCCUAGCUGGACUAAGGCGGCAGCCUCCUAAGCUGCAAACCGCGGGUUCAAAUCCCGCCACGUCCG